AUUGAACGCUGGCGGCAGGCCUAACACAUGCAAGUCGAGCGGAUGAAGGGAGCUUGCUCCUGGAUUCAGCGGCGGACGGGUGAGUAAUGCCUAGGAAUCUGCCUGGUCGUGGGGGAUAACGUCCGGAAACGGGCGCUAAUACCGCAUACGUCCUGAGGGAGAAAGUGGGGGAUCUUCGGACCUCACGCUAUCAGAUGAGCCUAGGUCGGAUUAGCUAGUUGGUGGGGUAAAGGCCUACCAAGGCGACGAUCCGUAACUGGUCUGAGAGGAUGAUCAGUCACACUGGAACUGAGACACGGUCCAGACUCCUACGGGAGGCAGCAGUGGGGAAGAUUGGACAAAGGGCGAAAGCCUGAUCCAGCCAUGCCGCGUGUGUGAAGAAGGUCUUCGGAUUGUAAAGCACUUUAAGUUGGGAGGAAGGGCAGUAAGUUAAUACCUUGCUGUUUUGACGUUACCAACAGAAUAAGCACCGGCUAACUUCGUG
rnacentral:rRNA from 1 species